AUUGAACGCUGGCGGCAGGCCUAACACAUGCAAGUCGAGCGAGCGGCGGACGGGUGAGUAAUGUAUGGGGACUGCCCGAUAGAGGGGGAUAACUACUGGAAACGGUGGCUAAUACCGCAUACUAUCGGAUAACCCAUAUUGGAUUAGCUAGUGGGUGGGGUAAAGGCUCACCGAGGCGACGUUGCCUAGCUGGGCUGAGAGGGUGAUCAGCCACACUGGGACUGAGACACGGCCCAGACUCCUACGGAGGCAGCAGUGGGGAAUAUUGCACAAUGGGCGCAAGCCUGAUGCAGCCAUGCCGCGUGUGUGAAGAAGGCCUUAGGGUUGUAAAGUACUUUCAGCGGGGAGGCGUUACCCACAGAGAAAGCACCGGCUAACUCCGUGCCAGCAGCCGCGGUAAUAC
rnacentral:rRNA from 1 species